rnacentral:rRNA from 1 species
UACGGAGGGUGCGAGCGUUGUUCGGAAUUACUGGGCGUAAGGCGCGUGUAGGCGGCCGAUUAAGUCUGGUGUGAAAGCCCCGGGCUCAACCUGGGAAUUGCAUUCGAGACUGAAUAGCUAGGGUACGGUAGAGGGAAGUGGAAUUUCCGGUGUAGCGGUGAAAUGCGUAGAUAUCGGAAGGAACAUCAGUGGCGAAAGCGACUUCCUGGACCAGUACCGACGUUCAGGCACGAAAGCGUGGGGAGCAAACAGG